CAGUUGUCUAUUUUUUUCAUUGCUGAAAAAUUUAGCAUUUUGUAUCUAGCAUGUAGUAGGAGUUCAAUAAAUAUUGAACGAGAAAAUUAAAAAGAAAAAACAGAACAAUGGAGAGAAAAAAAAGCAGGAAACCCUGUAUGCAUCAGCCUCAGUUUAUUUUCUCUGAGAUACUUACAUAUGUACGAUGAAAGGAAUACCUCUUGGGGAGAGACUAAGAGAGUCCUGCUUCUACAGCUCUUCUGAGACCCCAUAGGGUCUUCACUGUACCCCUUGACUUGGGGCAGAUGGGUAGUACUAGCCUGAGGUGUAGUCACUGUGAGGGAUGUGGAAAGUUCCAUGUUUCCUUUACAGGUGUGGGUUCCAUCUGGGCACAGAGUCAUUUACUGAGAGAAGAAAGCAGAAGUGACAGGUCAGGAAUCAAGCCCAGGGGAUUUAUUAAAAUCCUAUCUCCUAGACCAGCAUUUCUAGAGAGGGAUUAUGUCAUUUAGGGAGAGAUUUCCCUUUAAAUAAAGCUUUUGAAUAGAAGGACAAAGUCAUUGUCAUCACAUAGGGAGGCAGAAGAGCCAUCCCCAAGGACAGGGCCUUAGCUCACUGCCACUGCUGGGAAAACAGAGGCCAGGCAUUGCAGGUUCUCCUUUAGGUCCUCUUUCCAUAUCCCUUCUUGGAUUUUUCUUUUAUAUGGCUUUUUCUCCAGAGCCCAGUGGGAAUGAAAGUAUUUUAAAAAGCUUAAGCAUUUACCUUGGGUAUCCUCCCCAGUACUGGUGCAAAAACCACUUCCUUUCCUUGCCAAUUUCUGUUUGUGCUUCCUGGUACCACCAAACAAGCUACACAGCCUGCAGUGAAAUCUACCAGCAAUCUGCUCUCCAUCUGAGGACCAGAUAACAUUGUUUAACAGUGACCACUACAUCCUCAAAAGAACAAUAAUUGUAACCCAUUUUAAUAGAGAAAUACUGAAGAAGGGUGAAAAUUUCCACUUUUCUGAGGAUUUAAAAUAAAGGAUGCACAGAUUUCCGCUUGAAUGAAGUU
rnacentral:lncRNA from 1 species